rnacentral:tRNA from 1 species
GCGCCUGUAGCUCAGUCUGGAUAGAGCAACCCCCUCCUAAGGGGUAGGUCGAACGUUCAAAUCGUUUCAGGCGCGCCA